AUUGAACGCUGGCGGCAGGCCUAACACAUGCAAGUCGAGCGAGCGGCGGACGGGUGAGUAAUGUCUGGGAAACUGCCUGAUGGAGGGGGAUAACUACUGGAAACGGUAGCUAAUACCGCAUACCAUCAGAUGUGCCCAGAGUGGAUUAGCUAGUAGGGGGGGUAAUGGCUCACCUAGGAGACGAUCCCUAGCUGUGCUGAGAUGAUGACCAUCCAGACUGUAACUGUGACACGUGUCAGACUCCGACGGGAGGCAGUAGUGGGGAAUUUUGCACAAUGGGCGCAAGCCUGAUGCAGCCAUGCCGCGUGUGUGAAGAAGGCCUUCGGGUUGUAAAUCACUUUCAGCGAGGAGGCGUUACUCGCAGAAGAAGCACCGGCUAACUCCGUGCCAGCAGCCGCGGUAAUUC
rnacentral:rRNA from 1 species